AGGAUAAACGCUGGCGGCGUGCCUAACACAUGCAAGUCGAACGCCCUUUUUCCUCGCAAGAGGGGGGAGGGAGUGGCGGACGGGUGAGGAACACAUGGGUGACCUACCUUUCAGUGAGGAAUACCGGCGAGAAAUCGCCGACAAGACCGCAUGAGCUUCCCUCGGUGAGCGAGGGAAGGAAAGCUCUUUUUCGUGCGAACGGAGGGGGGCGCUGGAAGAUGGGCCUGUGGCCGAUUAGCUAGUUGGUGAGGUAACGGCUCACCAAGGCGACGAUCGGUAGCUGGUCUGAGAGGACGAUCAGCCACACUGGGAUUGAGAACGGCCCAGACUCCUACGGGGGGCAGCAGUGAGGAAUUUUCCGCAAUGGGCGCAAGCCUGACGGAGCAACGCCGCGUGCAGGAAGACGGUUUUCGGAUCGUAAACUGCUUUUCUCGGGGACGAGAACGGACGGUACCCGAGGAAUCAGCCCCGGCUAACUACGUGCCAGCAGCCGCGGU
rnacentral:rRNA from 1 species